rnacentral:rRNA from 1 species
CAAGUCGAACGAAUCCCAGAGGGCUUGCUCUCUGGGGGAAGUGGCGAAAGGGGCAGUAAUGCAUGGGUAACCUACCCCGGGGACUGGUAUAGCCCUCCUAACGGAGGGGUAAUCCCGGGCGAUGCGGCGAGAUCGCAUGGUCUUGCCGUGAGAUGAAUUUCGCCUCGGGAGGGGCUCAUGUGAUAUUAGCUUGUUGGUGAGGUAACGGCUCACCAAGGCAAAGAUGUCUAGCGGGUGUGAGAGCACGACCCGCGCCACUGGCACUGAGACACUGGCCAGACUCCUACGGGAGGCUGCAGUCGAGGAUCUUCGGCAAUGGGCGCAAGCCUGACCGAGCGACGCCGCGUGUGCGAUGAAGGCCUUCGGGUUGUAAAGCACUGUCGAGGGGGGGAAAGGCGAAAGCUUGAUCUACCCCUGGAGGAAGCACGGGCUAAGUUCGUGCCAGCAGCCGCGGUAAGACGAACCGUGCGUACGUUGUUCGGAAUCACUGGGCUUAAAGGGCGCGUAGGCGGCUUCGCAAGUCCGGGGUGAAAGCCCCCAGCUCAACUGGGGAAGUGCCUUGGAUACUGCGGGGCUCGAGGGAGGUAGGGGUGCGUGGAACUUCCGGUGGAGCGGUGAAAUGCGUUGAUAUCGGAAGGAACGCCGGUGGCGAAAGCGACGCACUGGACCUCUUCUGACGCUGAGGCGCGAAAGCCAGGGGAGCAAACGGGAUUAGAUACCCCGGUAGUCCUGGCCCUAAACGAUGGGUACUAGGUAGUGGACUUGACAUGGGUUCACUGCCGAAGCAAAAGUGUUAAGUACCCCGCCUGGGGAGUAUGGUCGCAAGGCUGAAACUCAAAGGAAUUGACGGGGGCUCACACAAGCGGUGGAACAUGUGGCUU